rnacentral:lncRNA from 1 species
UUUAAAAUUUUACAACAUCAAAAAGUUACAACAUUGUAAUGACAUUCUAUCAUGUCAUUAUACCAUCCAAAUAUUACAAACACAAAAGUUACCAAAAUAUCAACACAACCAUGAUUUUUAAUGGUCAGCAAGAAAUCUUCUGACCCAUUCCAAUCGCACAGCAGAAGGUAAACUAAAGAAAAUGAGCAUUUGCGUUGGAUGAUCUGGAAUUUUGCUCAAUGCACGAUAGCGUUCAUCCUCAGUUAAACCUUCCACUUCAC